AACCGAAACCAAAACUUUGACAGAGAUUGACCAUCGGCGUUGUAGCCCUGGGAUCGCCCGUGCCGCCGUAAUUUUGAAGCAAAAACGACAAAGACAAGUGUAGACCGCAAGAGGUCCAGCAACUCCAGGACACUACCUCAAGGAUCACAAUUGAUGCACUCAGCGUUAUCUUCACAAGAUAUGGCAUCCCGUUAGAAGUUUGCACAGAUAAUGGACCUCAGUUUUCGAGUUAUGACUUCGCCAUGUUUGCAUGAAACUAUGAUUUUACACAUGUAAAUUCUAGUUCUCAUUGCCCGCAGUCAAAUGGCUUGGCAGGAAAAGGUGUACAGAUUAUCAAAUGCAUCUUUAAAAAAUCCCAGGCGUCCGUAAAUUACUUCUGGCAAGGACUACUGGCUCAGCUCCACUGGAGGACGGGCGAUCCCCUAAUGAACUGUUGCAAGGGAGGCGCCUUCGACCCAAUAUUUUUAACUUCCAUGAGGUACCCUGCACCGAGGUGAAAAAGCCCUGCCAGCACGCACAAAGCAAACCGUUGCCCAGGCUUUCUCGCGGGGACGUAGUAAGGCUGCGAGGAAUGAAAAUGUGGUAUCGGAGAGCGACUGUAAGAGGGACACAAGCUCCAAGGUCCUACCAGCUGGUAACUGAAGACGGUGACUUCGGCGCCGCAACCACGGACACCUCAUACAAACGGACGAGCCAUAUGCCGAAAUGAGCAGCGAAGACGGUGAGGACACAAUUGAAGCGAGCAUGCCUGUCGACAACCCUCAGGUACCUGCAAUGCAUUCUUUGGCUGGGUCAACAUUGCAGGCCUCAGACUUGUCACAAAUGACUGAUGGGACACAACAGUGGACAACCAACACGGAAGGUCAGCACCGGAGUCUUUGCAGACCCCAGCUCCGAGAAGAUUGUCCCGGAAAAGGAGGCCCCCACAACGCCUUCACUAUGACGAGGCAUUUAAUCAAAUUGCGUACUAAUCUGUCAACACAGUCUGUUUUGUUUGUUUAUGCAAAAGGAUGUAUCAGGCGCGUGCAUGACAGUGCGCCUGUUCCUGACAUGCCUGCUACGGUCGGCCCAUUAUCACUUGGUCGGUUAUAAAAGCAACACUUCCCAAUAAACCUGCGUUCUUCUUCUGGC